AGGAAUUAUAUAGGAUUGAAGAAAUAUAGGGGAUAAGGAUGGUUUUGUUACAGGGAAUGGAGGAAUUGAAGGGAUUGAGGGAAAUAUGGAUGCUGGUGAGGUUAAAGGAGUAAAGGUAAAAAUACCCCCUGCUGAGAGUCUAUCUUUGAAAAAUGGAGUUCUGAGAAAUGGACCAUCUAUGAUAGCCUGAGGGGACGUCUUCUCUAUUUAUCCCAUGUUGAAGCUGUCACAGAGCAGGGAUGGGAGAGGUGGAAGUGAGAGAAAAGAAAUACUUGUGAAUUGAAAAUCGCAACAAUUAUAGACAGCAAUGAUCACUAGCGCCAUAAACCAUAUCUUCAUUGUCACAUGGAAGUAAUUCCAAAUUCUCAAAAACUGUUUAUAGAUAAAAAGGAAGAGAUAGGAACAGAGAAGAGAGAGGAUAGUUCACAUGCCAUGGAGAUAGCUGGAGAUUCCUAUUGUAGGUGUAUGGCUCAAUGAAAUAUUGACAACCCAUACCUAUCUCAACCUCAAGUUCCAGGAUUUUAAAUGCAGUAAUUCCUGAAGAGUUUGUUCUUGAUCCUCCUUUCCUUUCUCUCCACACCCUCUAAAUUGCCAAUCUCAUUCUUCAGUAACAUGAACUACCAUUUUUAUGAGUAAAUCCUCAGACUUAAAGAAUCGACUCUGGUUUUCUUUCUUGAUUUCAGAGUUACACCUUCAACUGCUUUCAAAAUAUUUUACUCCUUUUUAUUAAAUUUGCACAUCAAAUACCACAUAUAUUUUUCUCCC
rnacentral:lncRNA from 1 species